rnacentral:rRNA from 1 species
AGUUUGAUCCUGGCUCAGGAUGAACGCUGGCGGCGUGCCUAAUACAUGCAAGUCGAGCGAACAGAUAAGGAGCUUGCUCCUUUGACGUUAGCGGCGGACGGGUGAGUAACACGUGGGUAACCUACCUAUAAGACUGGAAUAACUCCGGGAAACCGGGGCUAAUGCCGGAUAACAUUUAGAACCGCAUGGUUCUAAAGUGAAAGAUGGUUUUGCUAUCACUUAUAGAUGGACCCGCGCCGUAUUAGCUAGUUGGUAAGGUAACGGCUUACCAAGGCAACGAUACGUAGCCGACCUGAGAGGGUGAUCGGCCACACUGGAACUGAGACACGGUCCAGACUCCUACGGGAGGCAGCAGUAGGGAAUCUUCCGCAAUGGGCGAAAGCCUGACGGAGCAACGCCGCGUGAGUGAUGAAGGUCUUCGGAUCGUAAAACUCUGUUAUUAGGGAAGAACAAAUGUGUAAGUAACUAUGCACGUCUUGACG